rnacentral:rRNA from 1 species
GACGAACGCUGGCGGCGUGCUUAACACAUGCAAGUCGAACGGUGAAGCGCCUUCCUUUUUGGUGGGUGUGGAUGAGUGGCGAACGGGUGAGUAACACGUGAGUAACCUGCCCCCUUCUUCUGGAUAACCGCAUGAAAGUGUGGCUAAUACGGGAUAUUCUGGGUCUGUCGCAUGAUGGGUCUGGGAAAGAUAUUGUUUCGGUGGGGGAUGGGCUCGCGGCCUAUCAGCUUGUUGGUGGGGUGAUGGCCUACCAAGGCGGUGACGGGUAGCCGGCCUGAGAGGGUGGACGGUCACACUGGGACUGAGACACGGCCAAGACUCCUACGGGAGGCAGCAGUGGGGAAUAUUGCACAAUGGGCGCAAGCCCGAUGCAGCGACGCCGCGUGAGGGAUGGAGGCCUUCGGGUUGUGAACCUCUUUCGCCAGUGAAGCAGGCCUGCCUCGUUUGUGGGUGGGUUGACGGUAGCUGGAUAAGAAGCGCCGGCUAACUACGUG